GGCCUUAUGGUCUAGUAGUAUGAUUCCUCGUUUGGGAGUUGACUGGGAGUUGGACCAGCAACACAAAUCGAGGAGGUCCUGGGUUCAACUCCCAGUGAGGCCC